GCUCCUUUGACCUGUCCGAUGAAAUGCUGGUUAUGUUCUACAGUUACUACACACAGGACCAUGUAACACCCCGAAACCCAACUCUUGGGAUCUUAUUGGUAAAGCUAAAUGGGAGGCGUGGGAAGCCUUAGGAAAUGUGUCAAAGGACCAAGCCAUGCUGGAAUAUGUUCAGGAAAUACAGCUGGUUGUAAAGAUUGUAGAGAUGAAGCUCUCUCACACUGAGACAGGAUGGCAGAAUUAAUGGACACUCCUGACCCAUUUUAUGAGAUAGUGUUGGAAGGUGAUGAUGAUGAAGAAGAUGACGAGGCUAGUGAAGCAGCACCCUUAUCCACAGGUACUUUUAUGUAAAAGCAUUUAAUCAUUUAAUCUGAGCCCCUUUAAUCAACAUUUUAUAUUUUGAUGAAUUUUCAAACAGGAGACACUAAUGCUGAAAAAACGGAUGAUGCUGCCGCUGAGAAAGUUAAAGAGGGGGAAAGUGAAAUUAAUGGGGAAAAUAUAGAAGAUGACAUGGAGAUGGAGGAGAGAUUCAAGUGCAUUUGCAGCAGGGAGAGAAGAUUUAUCAGUGUUUAAUGGAAGUGAGGAGAACAGCAUGAUCUUCUCAGCUGAUGACGCUCAUUGUUCACUGAACACUGAGGAGGAAGAGGAGGAACUGGCUUAUGAUGACUCGGACGAUGAGAUGUACAGUGACUCAAUGGAAAAUACAGCAACACAAGAGAAGGGUUCGGGAGUUCCCAGGGUCCAUUUGGCAGAUGUGAGUGUGACUGGGGCCAACAUGCAACAAGGGGGAAACAGAGCGCCUCAGUGUGGGAGUCAGGAUGGAAAACCACAGGGAGUUACACCCCCCGUCCCCCACCCACCGACACUUGGACCGGUCCAAACUAACAGAAUCUCAGCAGGCAGUGGAAGAGGCUGAAAUCAUUCCCCUCAAAGCUUGGCACACUUAAGUCACCAAAAAAGAGGUUGCCUCGGUGGCCUUUAAACAUAUCCCCUAUCACUGUAGUGCUGACAGUUAUCUGGCCCUUUGCUGUGCACUGGCGGGUGCAGUUUUACUUACAGAAAAGGAGGAG
ensembl:lncRNA